rnacentral:rRNA from 1 species
GGUUUUCGGACCUAGAGACCGGCGCACGGGUGCGUAACGCGUAUGCAAUCUACCUUUUACAGAGGGAUAGCCCAGAGAAAUUUGGAUUAAUACCUCAUAGUAUUAUUGAAUGGCAUCAUUUAAUAAUUAAAGUCACAACGGUAAAAGAUGAGCAUGCGUCCCAUUAGCUUGUUGGUAAGGUAACGGCUUACCAAGGCAACGAUGGGUAGGGGUCCUGAGAGGGAGAUCCCCCACACUGGUACUGAGACACGGACCAGACUCCUACGGGAGGCAGCAGUGAGGAAUAUUGGUCAAUGGGCGCAAGCCUGAACCAGCCAUGCCGCGUGCAGGAUGACGCAUCUAUGGAGUGUAAACUGCUUUUGUACAAGAAGAAACACUUCUUCGUGAAGAACCUUGACGGUACUGUAAGAAUAAGGAUCGGCUAACUCCGUGCCAGCAGCCGCGGUAAUACGGAGGAUCCAAGCGUUAUCCGGAAUCAUUGGGUUUAAAGGGUCCGUAGGCGGUUUAGUAAGUCAGUGGUGAAAGCCCAUCGCUCAACGGUGGAACGGCCAUUGAUACUGCUAGACUUGAAUUAUUGUGAAGUAACUAGAAUAUGUAGUGUAGCGGUGAAAUGCUUAGAGAUUACAUGGAAUACCAAUUGCGAAGGCAGGUUACUACUAAUGUAUUGACGCUGAUGGACGAAAGCGUGGGUAGCGAACAGGAUUAGAUACCCUGGUAGUCCACGCCGUAAACGAUGGAUACUAGCUGUUCGGAGCAAUCUGAGUGGCUAAGCGAAAGUGAUAAGUAUCCCACCUGGGG